CAAGCACCGUGUUUGUCUGCUUUCACACGCUGUUUCACAAUCAUUGUUGGGUGAGGUGAGGAAUACGCGUCCAAUGUUCUGUUCUCUGAUUGGUUAUCGCGACCAGCAUAACCUAUAGGGCAGCCGCCAAUACUACAGUGCCCAUUAUGCAUUGCCAUUUCCCAUUUCUGGGGCCAUUUAAACAUAGAGCGACUCUGUCAUGUAAAUUGUUUAUUACGGUAAAUGAAUUGAGAAUCUACCGGUAUAUUUUUCAUUUAUAAGUCGCUCUGGAGUAUAGGUCGCACCCCCGGCCAAAACAUGUUUAAAAAAAAAAGUGUCACUUU